rnacentral:rRNA from 1 species
GAGUUUGAUCCUGGCUCAGGACGAACGCUGGCGGCGUGCUUAACACAUGCAAGUCGAACGGAAAGGCCCUGCUUGCAGGGUACUCGAGUGGCGAACGGGUGAGUAACACGUGGGUGAUCUGCCCUGCACUUCGGGAUAAGCUUGGGAAACUGGGUCUAAUACCGGAUAGGACCGCACUUUAGUGUGUGUGGUGGAAAGUUUUUUCGGUGUAGGAUGAGCUCGCGGCCUAUCAGCUUGUUGGUGGGGUAAUGGCCUACCAAGGCGGCGACGGGUAGCCGGCCUGAGAGGGUGUACGGCCACAUUGGGACUGAGAUACGGCCCAGACUCCUACGGGAGGCAGCAGUGGGGAAUAUUGCACAAUGGGCGCAAGCCUGAUGCAGCGACGCCGCGUGGGGGAUGAAGGCCUUCGGGUUGUAAACUCCUUUCGCUAGGGACGAAGCUUUGUUGUGACGGUACCUAGAUAAGAAGCACCGGCUAACUACGUGCCAGCAGCCGCGGUAAUACGUAGGGUGCGAGCGUUGUCCGGAAUUACUGGGCGUAAAGAGCUCGUAGGUGGUUUGUCGCGUCGUCUGUGAAAUUCUGGGGCUUAACUCCGGGCGUGCAGGCGAUACGGGCAUAACUUGAGUGCUGUAGGGGUAACUGGAAUUCCUGGUGUAGCGGUGAAAUGCGCAGAUAUCAGGAGGAACACCGAUGGCGAAGGCAGGUUACUGGGCAGUUACUGACGCUGAGGAGCGAAAGCAUGGGUAGCGAACAGGAUUAGAUACCCUGGUAGUCCAUGCUGUAAACGGUGGGCGCUAGGUGUGAGGGUCUUUCUACGAUUCUCGUGCCGUAGCUAACGCAUUAAGCGCCCCGCCUGGGGAGUACGGCCGCAAGGCUAAAACUCAAAGGAAUUGACGG